rnacentral:rRNA from 1 species
UACGUAGGUAGCGAGCGUUGUCCGGAUUUACUGGGCGUAAAGGGAGCGUAGGUGGCCUAACAUGUCGACUGUGAAAACCCGGAGCUCAACUCCGGACUUGCAGUUGAAACUGCAAGGCUUGAGGACGGUAGAGGAAGACGGAACUGCCAGUGUAGGGGUAAAAUCCUUAGAUAUUGGCAGGAACGCCGGUGACGAAGGUGGUUUUCUGGGCCGGUUCUGACACUGAUGCUCGAAAGCCAGGGGAGCGAACGGGAUUAGAUACCCUGGUAGUCCCUGAGCGGGCU